AGGAAGGUAGAUGAACCCGGUGAAUGGUAGAACCGGGGUAAGCGUGUAGGAGGAGGACCAGGUAAAUCCGGGCCUCAUAAACUCUGAGACGUGAUACCGAGCCGCUUCAGGCGAAGUCAUUGAUCCUAUGCUGCCUAGAAAAGCCCAGCAGCGAGUUGACAUGGUGCCCGUACCCCAAACCAACACAGGUGGACAGGUAGAGCAUACCAAGGCGAGUGGGAUAACUAUGGUUAAGGAACUCGGCAAAUUGCCUCCGUAACUUCGGGAGAAGGAGGACCCCAGUAGCGUGAUGAGACUUGCUCUCUGAGCGUGAAGGGGUAGCACAAAAUUGAGGGAAGCGACUGUUUACCAAAAACACAGCAGCGUGCUAAGCCGUAAGGCGCUGUAUACGCUGUGACUCCUGCCCGGUGCUGGAAGGUUACGGGGAUGGGUUAGUCCUUCGGGACGAAGCUCUGAACCUAAGCCCCAGUAAACGGCGGCCGUAACUAUAACGGUCCUAAGGUAGCGAAAUUCCUUGUCGGGUAAGUUCCGACCUGCACGAAUGGAGUAACGACUUCCCUACUGUCUCAACCAUAGACCCAGCGAAAUUGAAGUACGAGUAAAGAUGCUCGUUAGCUGCAGAAGGACGGAAAGACCCCGUGGACCUUUACUAUAACUUGAUGUUGUGUUUUGUCAUAUGUUGUGUAGGAUAGGUGGGAGACUUGGAAGCAUGGACGCUAGUCUGUGUGGAGUCAUCGUUGAAAUACCACCCUGCAUAUGGUGCGGCUCUAACCUAGACCCGUUAUCCGGGUUGGGGACAGCGUCAGGCGGGUAGUUUAACUGGGGCGGUUGCCUCCUAAAGAGUAACGGAGGCGCCCAAAGGUUCCCUCAGCCUGGUUGGCAAUCAGGCGUUGAGUGCAAUGGCAAAAGGGAGCUUGACUGCGAGACCUACAAGUCGAGCAGGAGCGAAAGCUGGGCAUAGUGAUCCGGCGGUUGCGUGUGGAAGCGCCGUCGCUCAACGGAUAAAAGGUACCCCGGGGAUAACAGGCUAAUCUUGCCCAAGCGUCCAUAUCGACGGCAAGGUUUGGCACCUCGAUGUCGGCUCAUCGCAUCCUGGGGCUGAAGCAGGUCCCAAGGGUUGGGCUGUUCGCCCAUUAAAGCGGUACGCGAGCUGGGUUCAGAACGUCGUGAGACAGUUCGGUCCCUAUCCUCUGCAGCCGGAGGUGAAUUGAGGAAAGCUGUCCCUAGUACC
rnacentral:rRNA from 1 species